GCAAAACCCAAGCACCUCGGUCUCUCACUGACUCCUCUUUGUCUUCCCGUUACAGCCACUGCCUCAGCUAAGAAACCCAGCCGCAUUGCCUCCUUCUUGCGAGGCUUGUCCCGCUCUAAACAGAGCGCCAAAAGCACCUCAGACCUCACCAACAUGGGGGACACAGCUGAGGCCACCAAGGCCUCAGCCAUGGAGAUUGACAUCAGCACCGUUGUGGACAAUGUGGAGAGUACGGAGAUAGAGAUGGAGACUAUCAGAGACAUGCCAUCACUGCUGAAGGUGGCGGAGGGGGGGGAGGCAGUGGCUGCCAGCCCGGUGAUGGACUCGGCAGGAGACUUGCAAGGACCUCCCCCAAACCUUGCUGUCCCAGAAUCCCAGCAAUUGCCACGCCACCCCCCACCCCCAGGGCCACAGAGAAAAGCCGGCAGGCUCGGGUACUAAAGAAUCAUGUUUGACCCCGUAACUGACUCAUUCUUCAUCCUUUAAGGCCUGGACAGACUUCUUCCCUCUGUUUCUUUGCCUUCCUCCUUCUCCUCUGCGCCUCUGGCUGAAUCAGCUGACACUGAGUAUGGGUAAACAUGGGGGAGCUGCUCCUAGGACGGUGACUGUUGACGCCGACGACUUUACACUGGGGGGCCCUGUGAACUCAAAGGUUCGGCUCCAGAGUGGGUACAGCUUGAGCACCCUUGGCAUUGUGGACGCCAUCCCAGACUGUGGACCGGAAUGGGACAAUGAGGGCUCUUCUGGGCCUCUGUGGCCUAAGCCUGGCUCUCUCCUGUGCUGCUGGCUUCUCCAGCCCUCAGGAGUCAAAGCACAACUGGGAAACCCUAAGAAGGCCAAGAAGCAACCGGGUCGCAGGCAGCCACAAGGAAGUAUCAUGGCUGGUGUCUGUGGCUGGGGUCUGCCAGGGGGUGCUCCUGAACCGCUGGUGGGUCCUCUCCACUGCCAGCUGUCUGAGAAAUGUGUACGUGCCCAAAGAAAAGGGCAGAGGGCAUUCGGGAGGAUGGGACUCAGGGCUUCUCCAGCUGGCCACAGUAGGGUAGAACAGACGGGCCCUUGGGGGGGGGGGAUAUGCCCAGCUGUCCUGUGUAAAGAAGGAUGAGGUCUGUGGAGUAGGUUUUGGAUGGGGGGAGGAGGCCUAAGUGGGAUUGGGGAGACUCCCCCUCUCUAUUAUAGGUGGGAUUAAUAGGAACUCUCCACUAUGGGGGGAGGGGGAAUACAGUCUCCCAGGCAGUAUUGGUUGAAUCCGAGGCUUCAAGUCCAUUUGACAAGCCUUUACUAAAACUCCAUGUUAACACUGGCCCCUUCCUGCCAGCUGGGGCCAAUUCUCACAUUGUCCAGUCUAGCCAGACGGACCUUCUCUCUUAUCUGCUAUACGUGGCACCCCUUCUCCCAUCUCCAUAUCUUCGUACUAUACCAGCUUCUCCCAUCCCUGGAAUGCACACACGUACACACACACAUGCACGCACAUGCAUGCACACACACACAUGCCCAGAAGCCCACUUAAUACUUACUGCUGGUUGAAUUGUUCUGUGUGUCUAAGAUGGGUGCUAGGUGCUACAGUUCUUCUUCCCACGCCAGGGACCUGAAUUCCUCUCAUUAUCCCCCUCAGAAAUCCUGACCUUCCUCCUAUGAGAGGCUCAGGGGACCUGGCUCAACGGCUCCUGGAUCUGCCUGCACCCCAACUUUGUGUCCCGAGUCAGGACCAUUGCAGCCAAGAGUGACCUGGGUAUCAUCCUCCUUCAUCAGCUGGCCACACUGGCUUGGGGGUCAGAUCCAGUUGGCCCGAGACACUAGCAAGGCCCCCCAAAACUGCCCCUUCUGUGGACAUCGGCCAUGCCAGGUCUAUCAGCAUCAGAGUAAGUCCCUGAAGGAAGAGGGAGCUUGCUGCUACUCCAUUCCCCCAUCUCAGAAUUUCAGGCCCAAAGAAAGGAUUUAGCCCUAAACUGGUAGAACCAGGCCUCCAAGCAACUCAGAAAAUAGCUGAGGAGGAAGGAAGCAGCUGGCAGCGGCUCAUUCUCAUCGAGAGCAGAGCUGGUAUUCCAACAGAAAGUCCUUCUGGCUCCAAACCAAGGGCACUUUCUGACCCUAACCCUGGUCCUGCAAGGCUUGGCAGGAGAGGACAGCUUGGAGAGGGAGGGGCCAGGGGCACAUUGGCAGGAAAUGACGUAUGUUCUGCCGUCCCCCUCCACCCAGUCUCCAGGCUAAACCUUCUCUUGGGACAUAAAGUGGCACUCUUCCUUCCCAGCAGCCCUCCUGGGCACCCCCUAGCUCAUCACCUCUCUCAUAUGCUGUCCUCCCAAUGGGUUCUGAGCAGGACACUCUGCCCUCCCUAUUCCUGAAGCUUCUAAUAAUAACGCAAGCCAAAGGCCCUUUGGCUCUUGUGCUGACUCAGGGAGCCUGCAAGCCACCCAAACCCCAGCUCUUCGCCAGUCAUGACCCAAGUAGAAGAUUCUGCUUCCCAUUCUGGCCUGCCAAGAUCCUAUGUGACGCUGCCUCUGUGCUCCUCGGUCCCAUCUGCAAAGCUGAUGAGCCGUUAUUAUCCAUUUCUGCCUUUGUAUCAUUGAUAGAAAUCCCAAACAAACCAUCUUUAAGGGCCCUCCUGUUGCCCGCAGCCAGAUAGUACACCAAACAGAAAGGCGCGAAAUAAACUUGAGACGUGGGCCA
rnacentral:lncRNA from 1 species